UGUGACCCAAAGAACAAAAAUGACAAAUUCUGGUCUAGGCUGAUACAACCAUGCAGAUAAUGAAAAUAUUAUGGAUUCAGAUGAGCUUAUUGAUAAAAUAUGGAUACAUUAGUCUAUUGCAUAUUGCUGAUGAAAAAAUACAUUGUAUAUGAGGAUGUGACAAAAAGUCCAAUAAAAAGAAUUAUGGUCUGGGCUGGUGCAAUAUUGCAGAUAAUGGACAUUUUAUGUAUUCUGAUGAGCUGACUGAUAAAAUUUGAGAAUAUCGUCUAUUGCAUAUUGCUGAUGAAAAAAAACAUUAUACAUGAGGAUGUGAUCUAAAGACAAAAACCAAAAAAUUUAUGGUCUAAGCUGAUACAACCAUGCGAUAAUGGAGAUUUUAUUAAUUUCAAUGAGCGGAUUGACAAAAUAUGGAAAUUCUGUCUAUUGCAUAUUGUUAAUGAAAAAGAAAAAUUUUAUAUGAGGAUGUUACCCAAAGACCAAAAGAGAAAAAGUUUAGUGUAGUCUGAUACAUCCAUAUAGAUAAUGGAGAUUUUAAGGAUUUGGAUGAGCGGACUUAUGAAAUAUAGAAAAAUGGAGUUUUGCUGAUGGCAAUAAUCAUUAUGUACGAGGAUUUGACCCAUAGGCCAAAAAUAGGCAGAAUACCAACGCAAGAAGCAUAUUUUUGAUGGACAUGUUACGUUUUCAAUCAAUAUUACGUCACAAUCAAAUUUGUGCCUAUAAAAGCAAGUCGAGUUUUUUAACGGUGGCAGUUGGAUAAAGAUGUCACGGCGAUUGGACGUUAACAUUCCUUGGAAAACAAGUCCGUGGAAACUUUUAAUUGGAAAGAAAAUCCGCAUUAAGUUGACAACGGCAGAAUACCAACGCAAGAAGCAUAUUUUUGAUGGACAUGUUACGUUUUCAAUCAAUAUUACGUCACAAUCAAAUUUGUGCCUAUAAAAGCAAGUCGAGUUUUUUAACGGUGGCAGUUGGAUAAAGAUGUCACGGCGAUUGGACGUUAACAUUCCUUGGAAAACAAGUCCGUGGAAACUUUUAAUUGGAAAGAAAAUCCGCAUUAAGUUGACAACGGUAAGUGAGCUUUAGAACUUAGACUUUUUACAGAUAAAAGAUUUCAUUUUCAAAGGUUAUAAAUAUCCAAGUAAAUAUUUGCAUCUGUUCUUUACUUGAUGUAAUGAGACUUCCUAUCAGCCCUUUUUUCAGUAAUUCAUUGAUUCCUUGAACUUCAUUAAAGUAAAUGAUAUUCUAGAGAUUUUCUCUGUGUCAACAAUUUGGAAACGAUCAAUUGGAAACCGAAAAAAAGCUUCUUUUACAAAAAAACUAUUUAUUUUUAAGAAGUUGAAGAUACUUGAUAGCAAAAAAAAGUAAAUAUGCAGACCUGAACAAAGGACCAAAUAUGAAAAA